AUAAGUGAAUUGGUAAAGAUCAAGGGUUCCUAUCUCAAGGUAAGGAUGAAGCAACUCUCACGUACAGUGGCUUAAUUUUGCAGGGGGUGGUGCUACUCCCUCUUUACUUAAUCUCUUCCAGUUUCAGGAGAACAUUUUUUAUUUGCUUUGUUUUGCCAUGUAUCUCCAUUGCCUAAAGAUUUGCUCUGUUUUGGUAUGUUUCACCAUUGCCUGAACAUCUCCAAUGAAUAAAGU
rnacentral:misc_RNA from 1 species